UGGGGAAUAUUGCACAAUGGGCGAAAGCCUGAUGCAGCAACGCCGCGUGAGGGAUGACGGCCUUCGGGUUGUAAACCUCUUUUAGUAGGGAAGAAGCGAAAGUGACGGUACCUGCAGAAAAAGCACCGGCUAACUACGUGCCAGCAGCCGCGGUAAUACGUAGGGUGCAAGCGUUGUCCGGAAUUAUUGGGCGUAAAGAGCUCGUAGGCGGUUUGUCGCGUCUGCUGUGAAAUCCCGAGGCUCAACCUCGGGUCUGCAGUGGGUACGGGCAGACUAGAGUGUGGUAGGGGAGAUUGGAAUUCCUGGUGUAGCGGUGGAAUGCGCAGAUAUCAGGAGGAACACCGAUGGCGAAGGCAGAUCGUCUGGGCCAUUACUGACGCUGAGGAGCGAAAGCAUGGG
rnacentral:rRNA from 1 species